rnacentral:lncRNA from 1 species
AAUCAUACAAGUGUGAAUUGAAAGCAAUUAUGUGCACUUCUAUGCUUGUCCACUCACAUCAGCCACAAUACUGAAUUUUGUCCAUGUAAAGGUAAAGGAAAUUAUAAUGAAAUCAAUUUUUGGAAGAAUAUACAGUCAAUUGCUAAUCCUUCAUCCAGAUAAGAACACCUUUAAGCUUGCUACCAACUAUAUUGUCAGGUCUACUUGCUACAUUACAAAGCAGUGAAAUAAUUACCCAAUGAAGUGACAUGAAAAACAAAACAAAGAUUUAUUUUGAAGCAAGCAUUAUCUGAAAUAUGUCAAACUUUAUACAUCAUAGGACUAUCAAAACCCAGAGGAAGAUGGAACAAUAAUCAGUUCUCCUAUGCGAUCCAGGCUUCAUUUACACACCUAGAGCUUAUCUUCCUUGGGAACAUCUUUAUGUGGCAGCUCUUUAGGUUUUGCCUUCUCCAUUUCCCUACAAAAUAUUAUCAAAUUGUGAUUCAUACUGACAAAAGAUGGCUUGCACAAACUUAUAAAUGCAAAUACAAAAGAAAGAUGCAGGCUUUCUCACGAGAACAAAAAAAUAGAUAGCUCAUCCACUACAGAGUUCGGAAAGGAGGAGAAACUCCAACCUCAUUUACAUGAAAUCCUAUAAUAAUCCACUCUUCCUGGGUGUCUACUUGUUUCUUCUUCCAGAGUAAUACAUUAUUAGGUUUCUCAACCAUUUGAGUUCAUAUAAU